rnacentral:lncRNA from 1 species
UAUUGAAUUUUCAGACUGUAAGAAUCAUUACUGGCUGCAUUUCAGAUGAGAGAAAGUUCUAUUAAAUCCAGUGAAGUCCCGAGCAUGCAGACCUGCUGGUUUGGGAGAGGAUGGUCUCUGGUUGGAUAUAUAAAACUUACGUCAUCCAACCAAAAUGCUUCUGGUACACAUUCCUAUAUAUCGUGAAUCUAGCUUGCCUCUUGAUCUUAAAUUUUUCGACUUCCAAUAUCAUAUAUAUUCUCUAUUCUAAUAUUUUCUUUAUCCUUCUUGCUUACCCAUAUAAAUUGGAAUGUAUUUUCUCUUUUGGUUGUCUGAAAAUUCUUGCUUCGAAUUGUCUUUUAUGCGUAAGUGGGCCAUGAUAUUGUAGAUAGAACUGAUAUCUGCAACUUUUUUCAUGAUUUCGUAAGCUCUCAUGGCUGGUUCUUUGUAGGUUAUGUGAGGGAAGCAAUUGAAAUUUGAAACAUUGAGAUGGAACAAUGUAAAUUCCUUCAUUCUGCAUCUCCGAGAUAAUUAAUAGGUGACAUGCUCUGAACAUUCCUUAUAUUCAGAGUUGUAAGUUAAUGCAGAUUUUGAGUUAUUUCAGCUUAUACUUAUGUUCUAUGGUUUGUCUGUGGAUUUAUUUCUUGAAUUAAUCAGUCCACCAAAAUAUGUAGGACGUAUUAUUAUUUUGUUGAGAGCUUUGGCUGAGUUGGAGAUAAGAAGAGGAUGGAAAUGGUUUAUACAUAUUGUUCAGUAUGUAUAUCUUGACAUCUUAAAAAUAUAAUAGAUAUAUAGUUUAGUGACUGAAUUUAAAUGAUAAACUAAAUUUAUGAUCAUUAAAUUUAAUUGGAUUGAAAAUUUUAACUAUUUGAUGUUGGUUUGAGGUAAAUUCAGUUUAGCGUAUAUGUAAAAAUUCUAGCUCAUGUUUGGUUAGGUGUUUUUGGAGGUUGGAAAGAGAAUCAAUUAAUUGAAUCCAUUUCUUAUUGUUUGGUUUGGAUAAUAAGGUAACCAUUACCCUUACUUGGUAGUAAUUCAAUCACCCAAUUUGUUACCCCUCAAAAUAAAGGGGAGACAAAAGAAAGAGAAUUCCUUACUAAUGAUUUCUUUUCAUUGUUAAACCAAACAUUAAAUAAAAGUAAUACUUAUUGUUACCAUUCCACCCCUUUAUUUGAUUUCAUUCUUUUCAUUCCUCUACUCGAACCAAACGACCACUAAAUUUAAGUUCUCUAAUUCAUUUUUAAAAAAAUAACGAGUGUACCACGGUACCACAUGCAUAAGUUUACAUAUAUGAAUUUUACACUACACGGAGUCAUAUGGAAUGCUAUCUAGAUGUUGAAGCGGAAUGAAUUAGUUAAUUGGUGAAUUGUACCAAAAAAACAACAACUAUCGAUCAGUAUAUUGUAGUAAUGUUUUAGGGGUAAUUGACAUAUGCUUUCAUUGGUAUAGUUAGGAGAUUCUAAAAACAAAGUCUUGGUUGUGAUAUGUGUAAUUUGUUAAUCAUAUUAUUUGGAUUUUUCACUAUUAUCUAUGGGAUUUGAUUUGAUGUGCAUCUUGAAUGUGCUUUUAUGCAGAUUAUAUUAACAAAAGUAAACAAGGAGUCAAAUGGAAGGAACCAGAAAAUAGGGGAUAUUUGUGCAAUUUUUGAAAAUCGCGAAGUAUUGGAAGAUUGAGAGCUGUAGGG